rnacentral:rRNA from 1 species
UACGGGGGGAGCAAGCGUUGUUCGGAUUUACUGGGCGUAAAGGGCGCGUAGGCGGCGCGACAAGUCACUUGUGAAAUCUCUGGGCUCAACCCAGAACGGUCAAGUGAUACUGUCGUGCUAGAGUGCGGAAGGGGCAACUGGAAUUCUUGGUGUAGCGGUGAAAUGCGUAGAUAUCAAGAGGAACACCUGCGGCGAAGGCGGGUUGCUGGGCUGACACUGACGCUGAUGCGCGAAAGCCAGGGGAGCGAACGGG